UGGUCAGUUUCGUUAUUCUAUGUGAAGGAAUGUUGAAGAGGUUCAAGGUUGAGUUGGAGAAACUCAAAACCCGAAAAUAUGUUGUGUGAUUUUUCCUCCUUUUUGUACUCAGUUUAUGCUUUCUAUGAAGUUUAAUAUUUGAGUUGUAUUAAUUUGGGUUGUUAUGCCUUUGUAUUCCGUACUUUAAUAAAUCGAAUGAAUGAGAAUGGUCCUCUCUUUUAUUUCUUGGCUUUAUAUUUCUUCGAAUGCUUAAUAACGACAACC
rnacentral:lncRNA from 1 species